AUUGAACGCUGGCGGCAUGCCUUACACAUGCAAGUCGAACGGCAGCACGGGUGCUUGCACCUGGUGGCGAGUGGCGAACGGGUGAGUAAUACAUCGGAACGUACCCAGUAGUGGGGGAUAGCCCGGCGAAAGCCGGAUUAAUACCGCAUACGAUCUACGGAUGAAAGUGGGGGAUCGCAAGACCUCGCGCUAUGUGAGCGGCCGAUAUCUGAUUAGCUAGUUGGUGAGGUAAAAGCUCACCAAGGCCACGAUCAGUAGCUGGUCUGAGAGGACGACCAGCCACACUGGAACUGAGACACGGUCCAGACUCCUACGGGAGGCAGCAGUGGGGAAUUUUGGACAAUGGGGGAAACCCUGAUCCAGCAAUGCCGCGUGAGUGAAGAAGGCCUUCGGGUUGUAAAGCUCUUUUGUCAGGGAAGAAACGGUUGUGGCUAAUAUCCACGGCUAAUGACGGUACCUGAAGAAUAAGCACCGGCUAACUACGUGCCAGCCGCCGCCGUAA
rnacentral:rRNA from 1 species